GCAAAAUGUAAUUGGAAAUAGAUAGAGUGCAUUUAGAACCAAAGAUUCAAUAGUUCACCAUCAUCUCUCAAAACAAAAUAAACCUGAACUUUGGCAUAACAAUCCUUGAACAAAAUUAAGAAGAUAUAUCUAAAACAUGUAGUCUACCAAAAACUCGAUUUAAAUUUGUUCACAUCUUAUAUUGUACUCUCUUAGUAUUUCCUGCCAAAACCACCAGCACCGCGACCAAAGGUUGGGAGAGCUGCUACUGCUUGUGGUUCUGCAGCCUG
rnacentral:misc_RNA from 1 species